GGACGGUAAACGCCCCUUCGGGGGCGUGAGAGUGGCGGACGGGUGCGUAACGCGUAUGCAACCAACCCCCCGCGGGCGGACAGCCGGUGGAAACGCCGGAUGAUACGCCAUGUGGCCGUCCCGGGGCAUCCCGGGGGGGCCAAAGCGGAGACGCGGCGGGGGACGGGCAUGCGUCCCAUUAGAUGGUAGGCGGGGUGACGGCCCACCUAGUCGGCGAUGGGUAGGGGAUCUGAGAGGACGGUCCCCCACACUGGUACUGAGACACGGACCAGACUCCUGCGGGAGGCAGCAGUAAGGGAUAUUGGGCAAUGGGGGGAACCCUGACCCAGCCAUGCCGCGUGAGGGAAUGAGGCCCUACGGGUCGUGAACCUCUUUUAUUCGGGGACAAGGGCGCGGUCGCGAACCGAGCUUGAGGGUACCGAAGGAAUAAGCGUCGGCUAACUCCGUGCCAG
rnacentral:rRNA from 1 species